UACGGGGGGGGCAAGCGUUGUUCGGAAUUACUGGGCGUAAAGGGCUCGUAGGCGGCCAACUAAGUCGGAUGUGAAAUCCCCGGGCUUAACCUGGGAACUGCGCUUGUAACUGGCAAGCUAGAGUGUGGCAGAGGGGGGUGGAAUUCCACGUGUAGCAGUGAAAUGCGUAGAGAUGUGGAGGAACACCGAUGGCGAAGGCAGCCCCCUGGGCUAACACUGACGCUCAUGCACGAAAGCGUGGGGAGCAAACAGG
rnacentral:rRNA from 1 species